UUAGAUCAAGCAGGGCUGGUUUUACUACUUUCCUCCGCCUGGUGUCGAAAAGCCGGAAGAAAUUGGAAUGAAGGGAGCGCUUCCCAAGGAUGGAUACAAAGCCUGCCAACUUGAUAGCUGCUUCGAAUCCAUAUAUCUAUGUUUUUGUUAAAGCCUUGAUGGGGACCUUGUAGCACACAACCAUGUCGAAUACGCUAGAACUCAGCAUUGAAAGAGAACCAAGCUCGAUAGGAAAUUUGUUGAUGGUGAGCUUCUCCAAAAAAAACUAUAAGUACAAGAUCUCCUUCUUUAAUAGCGGUAUCACUACCUGACCGGCGGGCCAGCCGCUCGUCCAGCCGUGUUAAAGCUUCCAUAAAAAAAGCCAGACUAAGCAAUAAGGUACCCCGUAUCACGUUCUAUGGGAAAGAGUUGGAGCAGCCUAGAUAAGAAAACCCAGGAGCCCUACCCAAGAGAGGAUCUUAGCUGUGACUAUGCCAGGCCUUCUGUUGUCAGAUUGUAAAUGUUAUGUAAUUUGUUUCAACGAAAAAGUAAUUAGAUCAUAGGUAGGGGGGAAGUGUGCAACAGAGCAUAGGGUAUGAAGGGCAGCACUUCCUUGUAGGGUGUGGAAGAGGGGAAGCUUUCUAUGUGUGGAUAGAGGACGUCGUGGACGGACGAAAGAAGGGAUCCUGAUUACGAAGGGUCGAAUACAGUUCAGCAAGUAGGGCUUGCUCCAGUUCCUUAUGCCCCAGAGAAGCAUUGAGCGAGCUCUUCAGGUGUUGUGAUGAGACCGCGUUCCAUCGGGUUUUCCUAAAUUAAGAGAAAUCGGUUUCUAGUGCAAACUGAGAUCUUUGAGCUAGGCUGAAAUCUUGUCACAGAGUGGACUCAGUUUGUCAGGAAGUGAAUCGUCUUUGGCGGAAUCUGUCAAUCCAUCAAUAUAGAAAUGAAAAGGGAGGAAUGCGCCAAGCUUUAAAGUAGGAACUGGAAAUGGUUCUUUUAAAUUGAGAUAUAGGCUAGCUAAAUGAAAUGUCUAAUAGGCUAGUAGUCAAGGUUGGGAGCACCAUGGUAGCGGUUGGUGGGGGGCUUCGUUCCUUGAAUAUUGAAGCGUUCAUUGUUGGGCCCUAUUCGUUCGAUCAAAAAAAAAGGGGGGGAAUAAUUAAGAAUCGCUUAGAAUUUUUUAUUAUCGUUCGUAUAUAUAGUUAUAUAUAUAUAUAUAACUAUAUAACUAUAUAGUGAACAUUUUAUUUUUUUUGAUUUUCUUUUUGUUUAGGCCAGAUCUACACCUAAGUCUUCAUCCUACCGGUCCUCCGCGCAAUUUGAACUACAAAGUCAAAAAUUUAAUUAGGGCUACUGAACAUUUUGCCUAUGACAAUAUCUACUUAAAAGCCCUGGCUCUUAUCUAAGAACCAAAGCCACACCUAUCUUAAUCUCAUGCUCCACCCAACUUCUCUCGUUACUCCUUUCUAACAGAGCUCUUUGGCGAAUACUCCACUUUUUAAUGAUUAGAUCAUCCCAUGCCUCCACUAGUGAACCGCUCCCUACUCUCUCAACCAUCAAAAUAUGAUCUUGAGAUCGACGCUAUCUAGAUGCAUCAGUCCCAUAUCUUGGACUGUAAUACCAAGAUGGCUCUGGUAAUAGUCCUCUUUGUAGGUACAUUACCUAACAAUAAUGACACUCAUCUAACUAAGUUAGACUCUGAAAUAAAUAUUCAUAUCUACCAUACAUGUCCUUUGCCGGCAAGCUACCCUCCGUAAUUUCUAUCCGCCCGCCGGGGAGAGUCAUAAGUCCAACUAGCAAAUGGCUAUCGAGAGCUUACUGAACGGCUUUUCAUCGUAUAACGGGCGAGGUACUUCUAAAGAAGAAGAUAGGCCCCGUCGAAAUCGAGCUCCAAGGGCGAAGCCCUAAUUUACUAAGAAGGGGCGCCUAAACAAAAUAAGAAAAAAAAAAGGGCUAUAAGUAGGCCGUUUGCUAUUGCUAUAAGGGCUGCUCGCCUUUUGACGGCUUGGCUUCGCUAUCGCUCCUAUGUAGUGGUCAGCCUUAAAAGGAGUCUUCCUACCAUACCAGAAUGCCUAUGUUAUAGUGCGUUAAGCUUCGCCAGAAGCAAGCAAGACGAGGAAGCGAAGCUUCGUAGACAAGGCUCGUUCCGUGCUUGACUUACGAGCUCGUGUAGUAAGGCCUCGCCCUACUUCAAUAAGGGCUGUAUCACUCCACUCGUAAACGAGCGUUAGAGCGAAUUGAGCGAGCGAGCGAAGCCUUCCUGGAGCUUCCCCCUUCCCUCACCCUACAAUUUCAUUUCCGCCUCCCCAGUUUAGUUGGUUUGGAGGAUGAAUUGAUUGGAUACCCGAGAACCAUAAUCUUUCAAAGGAACAGCUUCUACGACGAUAGAUAGGGGUCAGGUUUGGCAUCUAUGCCCCCUGCCCUCCAAACAGUAUGAGAGCCUUUCAGCUCGUACUGCUCACACUCCUAGAUCUUCACGGCGGCACCUCCGCCACCAUAGUGUGAGCUGGGAGCAGCUCCGAAAAUCCCGGCCUACUAAAAAAUGAGCUUGAAAGUCAACGUCAACAAGAACAACACGAAUUGGUUGCCCACUGAUCUGAUCAUAGGUGAAAUCCAAUCCCUUCGCCUCUCGGAAGCGAGAAAGGGAGCAGCAAGCGUAGGCUUCGACAGUGCGUUUUGGGGCGCUAGUACUUAGUUGCUUUGGCGCGCCCCCUUUUUUUUUCAGAUGUCCACCCCAAACCGAAGGGGCGGAGGGCGCACAACCCCUUCUCCGCUCCUUUCCUGAGCGUUUCACACUAAGCUCUUCGAUUCUGCCCUGCGCCUCUCUGGGCUUCGCUAUCGCUCAUGACUGGUAGUUGUCUCUAUGUAGUGGUCGGCCUUCGUUAAGCUUCGCCAGAAGCGACUAGUCGAGUCUACGAAGCGAAGUACUUGCUUCCCCCCUUCGCCUCGCCAUGCCACUAGAUCUAUAAUGACCGGCGAGUCGGAACAUGUACAUAACCACGCAGAGCGCCGGGCCGGGAAUCGCAAGAAUUUGAAAGUCCUUUAUGGAAGGGUGGGAAAGAAAGGUUCGAAAAUUGCCGGAUUAGCAGGAGGGAGGGCGGCCCCACCCUGAAACAAAGGUGUACAUACAUAAGAAGAGGCUGAUUAUGUCGGUCUCCUUCCCAUCUAUAUUGACCGGGAAGAGGGGGGAGGCUCUUGCGGAAGCCCUGCCCGCCCUUCUCUAUUUUGAGGGAUCCCUCAUCUUGAUGAUUCCAGGCUUCCCGGACUUGUAACAGACGGCUAGGAACAAGAAGAGGAUAAGUAGUCUCUGCCGUAGCAGGUCCUUCUCCUUCCGCUGAGACGGCCCUCUUUUUUUUUUUCGUUCACCGCGGCACGAAAGAAUGAAGAAGCUGAAAUAACUCAGAAAGAGAGUGGCGCCUAGCCGUUGAGAGCGUCUGUUGUCUUUUAAGAAUAACUGUACGAUCUUGGACUGGCCCCCUUCGCAUGACCUAGAAUGAAAGAAAAAGAGGUCCGUGCUACUAUAAGGCCUCUAAACUCCUCCCUCAGGACACUGUUGCGUUGCCAUGGGGACGGGGUAGCCCCGACUUCUAUAGGUCCUUGGUUCGACCUCCUAAUGAGAAUUGAGGUCCUUGCGCGGGCGUCUCAUCCCUAAGACUUGCUUGCUCUGUAUGGAGUGUCCCGUGGUUCCUCGAGUGCCAGCCGCAGAGAGGAAUGCCAUCAACUAGGGCGCUAUUUGCCACUAACCACUCGCUCGCCGGCCGCUCGGGCUCCGCGUUUCAAGUUCGUUAUCCUAACCGUCUCCCCUGCUCUACCGGGAGCCUGGCCCCUUCUUCUAUCUUAUCUACUGCCUUGCUCCUCGGCUCCCUACUGCUCCAGCCGCUCGCUGUAAUAGCUUGCUUCUCGGGUGGCUCGCACCCCGACCCCGGGUGGUGCGGCUGAGCCAGAGUGGGCUCAGCAGUCGGCCUAUGUAUCCGGGCGCACGCGUAAAGGCAUGAUUAGUUCCACGAAUCUCACUGCACUGACCAUAGUAAACUCCUUCUCGUUGUACCAAAAUGGAGGUCUGAUUUGAACGACCAGGUACAGCAUCACAUUUGACACCUGAGGAAGGUACAGCCCAACUAUGAGGUACAUCAGCAGGUGUUACAAUCAUACGUAGAUGAGUUUUGGCUGGUACAACCACUCUAUUGUCAACUUCUAAUAAACGUGAUUGACCCAAUUCUGGAUCAUCUUCUGGAAUCGUAUAACUGUCAAAAGUGAGUGACUGUUCAUCGGAACUGUUAUAGUCCGAAUACUCAUAAGGUUGGGUCGACGCCCGCCUCCCCCCAAACUUGACUUGCAAGUUUCCCCGCAAAAAGCUCUCCACGCCUACUCUUAUAAAGAGCACUAUUCUUCUUUAGUUAGGUAGUUCUCCCCCCUCUCAGAGACCGUAAGACCCCGGUGGAAUCGAAGGCCCGCUUACUAAUAGGCAACAGGGGACCGUUUCUCGCCCAGCCCUACCUACUUCAGUUAAGCUGGAACCGAAAAAGACCUGGUUCCACACACAUGAGACACGAAGAAGGUAUGGGACGACCAGUUCACCACGGAAAGCGAAUUCGAUCCUAUAGUCGUCUUCUUUGUUUGAAAAAUGCGCAGUGGAAAGGGAUGCUAGUCGGCUCGGCGAAGUUGUAGGCCCCAAUAGAUCAGAUCAAGAGUGAUUCCUCACCUAUCCUGUCAGGGGCCAAGUCGAACGCUCGAGUAUAGAUUCCCUAUGCUCAUGUGAACGGCCGGCCCGUAGAUCUAAAAGGAUCCAUCCAUAGGCCUGACCGGAAAGUUUGUCCACGAAAAAAAAAGUCGUUCAUGAGACCUCGAAUUCCCACGUUCCAGCGUGCAUUAUGCCAGCAGGUCCCACCCCCAAUUGAUUGAGUCACCCUUAUAUUUAUUUAUAUAAAUAAAGACAUAGUAUAUAUCCUCUAUAUAGAUCAUAGGAUCACUCUAUGAAUAGGUCAAUUCUCUUUCUUUGACCUCCCACCGUUCACGACAUCCCUUGCUUCUCGCUGCGAACGGCUCCUCGGUGGAGGAGUAGAAGCGCUGGUCCCCUUCGGUCAAGUGCUUGUGCGUGCUGUUACCUACCGUAGGACCUCCGUCCCCGAAGCGAAGAAAGAGGAGCAGGAACAACAGGUUGUCCUCUCUUGGCCCAGUAGUUCCGCAACUACUACCGUGGUUGUUGCCAACGGGGAUCCCCCAUUCCGAAAGGUAACGGGGCCGGCCGUUAGGUCCAAAGUUGUCUGCCACUGCUGUGGUGCCGAUAGAUUCAAAACUUCAGCGCCGUUAUCAGACAUUGCAGGCUUAGCAUCUAUUUUUCGUAUAUCGCUCCACACCGAGAAGAGGUAUGUGUACCUCCAGCAACAACAAGAAUGGAACCAUAGGCUCCUAUGCUGGGAGCAUUUCGGGGUAUAGGUCUAACCACCUCAACUCCCCGUUUCUGGCAUGCUAUAGUUCUUAUAGUUAGUCUCUCGACGACGGGAAUGGGAGAUUACCGGUAAGCCAGAUGCUUCGCGAACCACCGGUACAUUUCGUUGCACUUAAAUCACCCUCGUUAAGAGGCGCACUCCGAUACCAUUGAUGUCCAAUAGCUUUUAUAGUAAUGGCUGGAUCUACUACUACCUCGUCCAUUGAGUAUAACAGAGCAAACGAUGGUAUAGCAAUGAACAUCGGGAUGAUACUUGGAAAUAUGGUCCGAAUAAUCUCGAUAGUCGUUCCAUGAACAAUCCUUUGCGGGAUUGGAUUUUUUUGCUCGUGGAAAUGCCAUAAAGCGCGAACCAACAUCCGUGAUACGAAAACAAAAAUCAGAAUGAGGAAGAAAAAGAUAUCGUGAUGUAAGUCAAUGAUUCCUUGCAUAAUAGGUGUUGCUGCGUCUUGAGAUCCUAAUUGCCAUGGUUCCGCAGCAUCACAAGGAGCGAUUGUGAGGAAUCGCCAUUCUAAAAAUACUUCAAUCAUUUUCAUUUCCAUUCUGUGACUGCUCUGCUCCCGAAAAGAAAAAGGAGACUUAUAGAGACUUGGCCUUGGUUUUUCCAACUAAAGUCUGAUGGGAGAAUGGCAUGCAAUGCGCAUUCUUUUCGAUAGCUUUCACAUUUGCGGUAGACUGAACACCCACCCAAUCUCGAAUGGAAAAGACAACUACUACGUAGAUUCGCUAGCGACUACGGCCGUUAUCCCCCCCUACUUACUUCAAUUAAAGCUCGCGACUACGUACUACUGAAUGGCUCGUUCCGGCCGAUACGUACCGCGACUACUAAUUCAAAGUCUUGUUGAUUCGCUAGCGCCUAUCACGCGAUCGCGCUAGCGCCCUAUUGCGCCUAUAUAGCCAUAGAGCUACUGCGUGUAGGCGUGGGUCCGUUCUGUAUGGCCUCAGAGCGUUGAAGACGACUUUGUUCGACCAAUGACAGUUGACCCGACCCCAGCAAGAAGCGCAUAGCAGAUCUAUCUUUGCUUCAUCCAUCCUUAGCGCAUCCGCAUCUGCUUUAUCAAAGAGCCGCUUCUUCAUGCGCAUCUUUCUUCCCUAACGAGGCGAACCAACCACCCUGCAGGCGUGGGCUCUCCAUUUAGGUAGCUUCCUGGAUCUCCCGCAAUAAGCGCAAGUGGUUCCGCCGGACGAAGUUGUAGUUGGUUCGUUUUCGUAUGAUGAUUGCUCGCGAACCUACCUUCACGGCUCGUUCCUUCGGAACCUGUGUGUCUUUACCAACUCGGUCCGCCCGGUGAGCGCUCACGACUAAGCGAGACUCGGAUGCUGUCUCAUUCGCUGUCUCGCAAUACAUUUUUCUUUUUCCGAUACGGCUCGCGACCUAAAAAAAUCCCGGCCCACUCGCCACGGUCCACUCGUUCACUCGCUGCUUCAAGUAAACCACUCGAUGCUCUCUCGCAAUCGAUUAGUCUCGCUUCGUCUCUUGCGACGAAGCUUUUUAGAUACUCCUUUCGCCUUUAUGCAUGCGGGAUUUUCUUCUUUUAUUCAAUUGUUAUGUAGUGCCGGAUUUAGAGGCAAGGGUACAAAAGAUUUGACUCACUGUAGACAUUAAGAAGAGGAGACAACCAGCUCUUGGACUAUAAAAAUGCGCGUGCUCGAUCUAGUAAUCUUGGACAAUUUUUGAUGAACUGUCACUAAACUCAAAAAGAAAGAAGAGAAAAAACUGGGAGUUGGCGCCUACAUAACUGGUAGCUUGCUUACCAAGCCGUCCUGGCAAGCUCCUCCAGUUCGAUUAUUAUUCUUGACUUGACUUAUUAUUAAGAAAACUACUCACUAUCCAAAUGAAAGACGAUCUAGAAUCUACCCAAGAAGAUAGAGAGUCCCACAUACGAGAAAAGGUCACAAAUGGAGUUGAACCAAGUAACAUUGCAAAGGCAUAAUGAUAGUAGGGUCGGGAUAUCCCCGCCCUCCGAACCGGACGUGAGGGUCUCCCCUCAUCCGGCUCUCUGCAGGGGAAUCUCCACUCACUGCUUCCCCUAAUAUCCUCCCUUUACCACAUCAUCAUGGGGGUUUACAGGAGAUCCCAGAGGCUCGCUCGGAAAGGCUGCUAUACCAAACAAUAUUACUUAACUACAAAGAAAUAAAAGACUUUAGUAGUCACUAGACUCACUAUAGUAGUCCGUCCGGCUGCUCUUGCUUAAAUCAUUACUCUUCAUUCUCCCGUGCUCUAGCAAUUGCGCUCCCUAGACCACUACCAUGUAGUUAGGUAGGGACAAUCAAUCCAUAGUUACGGGAAUAACGGAAUGAAUGGGGAUCCCUAUCAAUAUCAAAAUGAAGAUUCUUAUAUAAGAAAUCCUUUCUUUCCAUAGAUGUAUCUGGUCUGAGACGGUACAGUACUCUACGAGAGGAAUGCAAUGGGAUGGAUGGUAGAGGGCUGCCUGCGCCCAAAAGCGAUGAUUCACUUGUCCCCUUGUCUAUAGGGACCUCGUGGCAUACAACCGCCACGACUCCUGCGUUAUAGCCGCCCCUUUCUCUCUUUCUUUUGACUGCCUCGUGGACGGACGAAAGAAGGGAAGUUACAGAACGGGGCAGUGAAGGCUCGCGAAGUAGACAGCAAGCCCCCACCCCGUAAGUCCUGUGUUGCCGUAGCGCGCCCUACUUCAAUAAGGGCUGUUUCCCUCGCUUAUUUUAAAGCUCGCUAGGGGAUGGGAUUCAUUCACUUGCAUUCCUGCUAGCACUACAAAAAGCUCCGGUCUUAACGCCCUUACGGAAGCUGUGCAGCCUUUCCUCGGGUUCGUAGAGUCGGGUUUCCCGUUUACCCACAACGGAGGAGCCGCCCCCACCAACCAAAGCAGGCAGGCGGCCACGGUUCAUAACGCACUCUUCGCACAACAGAUCCACUUUGAAGUUGACUUAUUCGCUCGGCCAAUCGUCGGAAUGUGUACGAGAUACCAUAAGGGCCCAAUAUCUCAAUAGCACCCUUGUCUAAAGCUUCGAAUGAGACUGAAUAUCCGAAACGCAGGAACGAUCUGACUAGAAAGUCAUUCAAAACUUGAUCGAAGAACCAGCGUUUAUUGAAGAAGCAAUAGAGUCGAUUACAAAAAGUACUAGUUUGAAAGGCUCGUUGGAAUUGAUCCGCUACGGGAUUUACAUUAUACGCUAGAGAAGCACCUGAAGUACUAAACAGAAUAGGUAUUAGUUUUGUAAUGGUUGGAGCAGCAAACUCGGAUUCGGCAAGAAUCUCAUUUUUUGGUAGUACGAAGGGGGAAUUGGCCCAAAAAUUGGAUAGGGGUAAAGACGCAGCCGGGCGCCGGCGGCUUAUUCAAGUGCCCCCCGAACCGCGCGAAAUGGUCGCCUAUUACACGGCUCACAAACUCUGCCUGGGGUGAGGGUACCUAUUAUUCGUCGGCGGUACGGCGCACGCAGGGCCUCGGUUUGCUGCGUGGACUUCCUACAGAGUGCAAUGGAACCCAGCUCAGCUCCGCCGAGCCAAAAGGAAAGAACCGCCGGAGGCGAACAGUAGAGUAUAGCCAAGAGGCUUUCGUCGUCCGUAAAGGACCUAACGGAAGACCGUGCUCCGAAGUUCACUGAGAGUUUUCUUUUAAGAACACUUGACCUUACCCCUUCUAUUGAGCCAUGUCUAGGUGGAAUCGGCAAGAUUGAACCGAGGCCCGCCCGGCCACCGCCGGGGGGACAACCAGACCAACCAGUAGGGUUUCUUUCCGAAGUUUCCUCCCGGGGCCCUUAAAUCAUUGAAUUCAUAGGCAUAGGGGCGUCCCAGGCAGUGGUCCAAUGAGAAAGAAAGACAGGAGGGCAGGAUUCGUCGUGGUCGGGCGAAUUAAUUCCAUUAAAGAAAAAGGAACGGAGUCACCUGAGCUACGCGAAGGGAAGGAAGUCGUGGGCUGAGCCGGAGGUCACUUUUCCCGAUCCAUCCCGAAGGUUUUUUUCCCUCUCUCGCCCAUCAUCGUACCCAGCCCAGCUAUCGGCUCAGCCCUAUCUAUUCAUCUCUUUUUUUUUCACAUGGAUAUUUUGGGAUCUCUCUUGUUCAUCGAUCUUGAAACCGGAUCAAUAGAAAUUUCUCAAUGGGUCCAUCUAUCUAUAGAAAGAUCUAGAUCUCUAUCAGAAUCUAUCUCUAUAUCUAAAUAUGGAAGAACCUUCGAAGCCUGUCCCCGAUAUUGUUCUCCUACGAUGUCCCCUGGGCGAAAGGGGCCACCAUUCUCUUUCUUUCCUCAAUCGUUCCGAUCAUUUCUCCAUUUCAUUCCCCUUUGGUUGGGGGCCCCGGGUUGGUUCGUUUCCUCCUCCUAUCUACGCAAUUCUCUGUCUUCGUUCGUGAUCAUGUUAGGCGAAAAGAUAGGUCAAAAUUUUGUAGAGGGGCGGCUGUGAAACGGCGAUUCCCCUUUUUCCAUUGAAGUAGGGAGGGCCCCCUUCCCCACCAUUCCGACCUAUUAAGGGAUUUGACCGAUGCUGAAGGUAGCUUGCUUACCAAGCCACCCACUGGAGAAGCUAGUCGCCAGAAGAGUGUCGCCAGAAAGAAGCGAGUUUUGUUUACGAAACGAGCUCAGACGACUGAAGUUUACGAAAGGAGUCACUAAGGGGCGAGCAAUAGGUUUAGUGUAGUUGUCAAAUCCAAUCCAACUUGUACUAUAAUGUUUUCACAUCAAAGUGCAAAAGAGAUUCAACGCCCUGGUUCUCACUCAACAGUAGACCAAUCCGCGAGGAAUGCUGAUGGGCUACCAUCGGACUGCGAGCGCGCGAGAGCGAGAGACGGACUGACGACGAGCUGCACGCGAGACAGAGAGAGAGCUGUGAGAGAGAAGAGAAAGACCCGAUUAGGGUUAGGGAGAAGGACCACCAGCUUUCCGGCGAUAAGAUGAAACAAUCCGGCAGAUAAUUCUGGCCGGGUUCGAUCAUCGCUCUGAUACCAUGUGAAGAAAAAACAGAGUUCAGAGGGAGAAGAUUCAUUACUUACCAAAAAGAGGGAUCUUAAGGGUAAAUAAAAGCGUACUCUAUUGACAGUACGACAAGUAUACAAUGGAACAAUAUAUAAAAAAAAAUCCCUAAACAUAAAAAAAAAUUUUCAAACAAAUACAUGUCUCAACAUUGUAGGCCGCCUUGUGAGUCUCCUAUAGAACAGAGGCAUAGACUCACUUCAGAGGACGGCGAGUUCAUUGAAGAUUGUCUCAGUUCAGCAGCAUGGUUGGGAGUAACUAACGUGUAUAUAACCAUCACACGACCCGACAUUGCCUAUGUUGUUGGAGUCGUGAGUAAAUUCAUGCAGAAGCCAAGAACGAACGAUACAUCUAGAUGCCGCAUAAAGAUUAUAUAUUUAUUUAUUUAUUUAUUUAUAUUUAUAUAUAUAAAUAAAUAAUCUUUAGGAAAACGUUCUAUCCACUUACAAUAUAACAAAAGGAGAGAGAGGGAUUCGAACCCUCGAUAGUUCGUUGUUCAGAACUAUACCGGUUUUCAAGACCGGAGCUAUCAACCACUCGGCCAUCUCUCCCAGAGGUAAUCUCUAUUUUAUUCUUACGAAUAGAACAUUUAUUCCUACGAAUAGAACAUGACCAUAUUAGAUGAUACACUAACUAUCCGUAGAAACAUCCCAGAUGCGAAUUCAUAUUUCGAUGUAUCUAUCUGUAUACUAUAUGCAUAGUAUAUAUGCAUGAUCCAGUAUGUUUGUUUGUGAAGAAAAUACUAAACUUCCCUCGACUCCAUGUCCGAAUAGAGUGGUAAUUAAUUUUACCGAAUCAAUUGAUUCAUGUCAAAUCCCUCCAUGAUGCAUUUUAUUACAAUUUUGACUAAGCGAGGGAUCAAAUGGUAUAGUUCAUUUGUUGGUAGCUUGGAGGAUUACAAACAUGACUAUUGCUUUCCAAUUAGCUGUUUUUGCAUUAAUUGCGACUUCAUCAAUCUUACUGAUUAGUGUACCCGUUGUAUUUGCUUCUUCUGAUGGUUGGUCAAGUAACAAAAAUAUUGUAUUUUCCGGUACAUCAUUAUGGAUUGGAUUAGUCUUUCUGGUAGCUAUCCUUAAUUCUCUCAUCUCUUGAACUUAUUUGGUAUUUCCCCGAUCCAAAAAUGAAAUGCCACUCCUUCUACCUUCUAAUAAAUUCGGAUUGUGAGACAUUAAGAUUCAAUCUGAGUUACGAAAAAAAAAUGAUAUUGUUAUUAAUUGGAUAUAAUAAUAAGAUUAAGAUUAUCUUAAUUGAAAUCUUACUGUACUUUACUAUAGUAUCUGAGUAUCCGGCCCUGCACAAAUAUGAUCCAGACGCAUAUAUUAUAUAUGAUAUAUGUAAUAUAUGUGUGGACAUAUGCGUGCGUAUCAGGAACGAAGAAAAUGCGGAUAUGGUUGAAUGGUCAAAUUUCUCUUUGCCAAGGAGAAGAUGCGGGUUCGAUCCCCGCUAUCCGCCCACGAUGAAGUAAUGUACUAUGAAAAAAAAUGAGGUAUGGUUGACUACUAUACUGACUACUAUAGUAGUCAGUAUAGUAGUCAGUAUGGUCCCGCGGAGUUCUUACUUUUUCAUGUCUAAAAUCCGGUUCAUCCGAUUACUACAGAGAUGAACCCAACCCGGAAUAUGAACCGUAAAAGAAAAUACCUAUUAAACCGAUCACAAGAAUACCGGUUACAGUACCUAUCAGCCAAAGAGGAAUCCCUCCAGUAGUAUCGGCCAUUUCCCCCACUUUCCUCCACAUUUCAUCAAGUGGUCAUGCUAGAGACAAAAACAGUCAUAGAUAAUUAUGAGGAUAGUAUCUUUCCGAAUGGGAUAAGAGAAUUCCUACUAUUCUCUUUCUUUCUCUCAAUUGAAGAAAUAAUUGGAAAAUAAAACAGCAAGUACAAAAAUGAGUAAUAAACCCCAGUAUAGACUGGUACGAUUCAAUUCAACAUUUUGUUCAUUCGGGUUUGAUUGUGUCAUAGCUCUAUAAUUCGAAUUAGGUUUAUCGUUGGAUGAACUGCAUUGCUGAUAUUGACCCCAAGAAAAAAACGGUAGGUACAGCUAAUCCGUGAACAGCCAACCAUCGUACUGUAAAAAUUGGAUAGGUUCGAUCUAUGGUCAUUGGAGGGCCUCCUAAAAGGAUCUACUAAAUUUAUCGAGUUGUUCCAAAGAAUCAAAACGGCCGGUUAUCAACGGAAUACCUUGUCGGCUCUCUGUGAAAUACUCGUUUGGCCGAGGACUUCCAAACACGUCGUAAGCUAAACCCGUACUGACGAAUAACCAACCCGCAAUGAAUAGGGAAGGUAUAGUAAUGCUAUGAAUGACCCAGUAUCGAAUACUGGUAAUAAUAUCAGCAAAAGAACGUUCUCCCGUGCUUCCAGACAUUCUGAGCUCCACAAAUUUUUGUACAUUCAAAACAAAAAAGAAAUCGAUUCCGUGAAAGAUGGGAUCAGUAAAUGGAAAACUACGGAUAUUUCAUCUUUGUGAGAUCGUCCAUUUUGUACCAAAGGUGUAUUUCGAGUAUACCGAAUCAGUAUAGCUAUCCUUCCUCUGGCACAGCAACGCAGUCUCGAUGGGUACCGAAAUACUACAUAAUUAUUUUUUCUUCUUUUUUUGUUCCUUGUCUAUGCAUAACUGUAUGUUAUUCAAUAGAUCAAUAGAAAAUUCCUAAAAUUCCUUAUAAGGUGUUUCCAUUAUUGGCUUCGUAAUAGAAAGUAAAGAUCUUGGAAAAGUUUGAAUCAAUGGGUUCUAAUAAUUCAUGAAAGAUAUUAUCAUAUUCAAAAAUUUCAAUUAUAUUGAAAUCUAUAAACCCUUUUUUGGUUAAAAGUUUUUUUUGUUCGAAUCUUUCAUUUCAUUUCAAGUAAUUGGUUGGUCGUACAAUAAAUAAAAAUAAUAAAUUUAUUAUAAUAAAUAAAAAUAAUAAAUUUAUUAUAAUAAAUAAAAAUAAUAAAUUUAUUAUAAUAAAUAAAAAUA
rnacentral:lncRNA from 1 species